rnacentral:rRNA from 1 species
AUUGAACGCUGGCGGCAGGCCUAACACAUGCAAGUCGAGCGGAUGAAGGGAGCUUGCUCCUGGAUUCAGCGGCGGACGGGUGAGUAAUGCCUAGGAAUCUGCCUGGUAGUGGGGGAUAACGUCCGGAAACGGGCGCUAAUACCGCAUACGUCCUGAGGGAGAAAGUGGGGGAUCUUCGGACCUCACGCUAUCAGAUGAGCCUAGGUCGGAUUAGCUAGUUGGUGGGGUAAAGGCCUACCAAGGCGACGAUCCGUAACUGGUCUGAGAGGAUGAUCAGUCACACUGGAACUGAGACACGGUCCAGACUCCUACGGGGGCAGCAGUGGGGAAUAUUGGACAAUGGGCGAAGGCCUGAUCCAGCCAUGCCGCGUGUGUGAAGAAGGUCUUCGGAUUGUAAAGCACUUUAAGUUGGGAGGAAGGGCAGUAAGUUAAUACCUUGCUGUUUUGACGUUACCAACAGAAUAAGCACCGGCUAACUUCGUG